GAUGAACGCUGGCGGCGUGCCUAAUACAUGCAAGCCGAGCGAACAGACGAGGAUCUUGCUCCUCUGACGUUAGCGGCGGACGGGUGUGUCACACGUGGAUAACCUACCUAUAACACUGGGAUAACUUCGGGAAACCGGAGCAAAUACCGGAUAAUCUAUUGAACCGCACGGGGCAAUAGCGACAGACGGUUUUUCGGUCACCUCUAGACGGAUCCGCGCCUGAUUAGCUAGUCGGUCAGGUAACGGAUUACCAAGGCAACGAUGCGUCGCCGACCUGACAAAGUGAUAGCGCACACUGGAACUGAGGCACAGUCCUGGUUCCUACGGGAGGCAGCAGUGUGGAAUCUGCCGCAGGGGGCGUAAGCCUGACGGAGCGACGCCACGUGGGUGAUGACGGUCUUGGGAUCGGAAGACUCUGUUGUUAGGGAUGAACAAAUGUGGAAGUAUCUAUACACUUGUUGACGGUGCCUAGUCAGGAAGCCGCGGCUAACUUCGUG
rnacentral:rRNA from 1 species